AAAUGAGAGCAUGAACGUAGAUUGCAGCACAGCGCCCAUCAUGCGGGAUGCUUUCAAUAACUGUGAGUGAUUUUUUCUAUUAUUAAUUAAUGCUUUUCUUGGAUUUUCUUAACUACAUCAUAUAUUUCUAAAACCAAUACUCUCUGUUUUUACUUAUAAAACAUAAAUCUUCCGUAAGUAAAUAAUUAUAGACUGAAUGUCAAUUCCUGGCCAAGUGCAGGAUAUACUGAGGCCAUUAUCUGGUGAAUGCAGGGUUUAUAGAUAGCCUAUCUCAAUUAUUUAGAACCUAAAGUGGACAUUAAGAUAAAUUUUAAACAUUUCAAAAACAGAACUGGUUGUCAC
rnacentral:lncRNA from 10 species